rnacentral:rRNA from 1 species
AGUGGAGCCUGCGGCUUAAUUUGACUCAACACGGGAAACCUCACCAGGCCCGGACACCGGAAGGAUUGACAGAUUGAGAGCUCUUUCUUGAUUCGGUGGGUGGUGGUGCAUGGCCGUUCUUAGUUGGUGGAGCGAUUUGUCUGGUUAAUUCCGAUAACGAACGAGACUCUAGCCUGCUAACUAGGCGUAUUUCGACAUCCCAAAGGCCCGCCGGUUCGGGGUUUCGGCCCCUUAUCGCGCGCGGUUUUUACUGUCGGCGUACAAACAAUUCUUCUUAGAGGGACAGGCGGCAUUUAGCCGCACGAGAUUGAGCAAUAACAGGUCUGUGAUGCCCUUAGAUGUUCUGGGCCG